GAUCUGUCACAUGUGGUCUAGAUACACACCCACUAUUCGCUACUAGAUCAGAUAAACUUCAGACUCAGAGGUCACAUAAUAGCUAAUGAUGGAGUCAUCUCCACAGGAAACUCAACACAUUCCUUGGGAUGAAUACAUUCAAAAUAAGCUUCUCUCCAGUGAAUGCGGUCUGACAGGUGUGGCAUUGCUUACGAAAAAGGGUGUGUGUGUGUACAGCCAUGGGACAUUGGCUAAUAACGAGAAACAGGUGUCCCACGAUUAAUGGUCACCAGCUGGCCAUUGAAUUAUGUUUUUCAGUACAGGAUUGGGACCUAUUGAUUAAACUGUUUUCAGACAGUGACGAAGGUGCUGUAUCAAAGCUAUCCCUACUAGUGGACGAUACGAGUGUACAAUUCCAACCCAUCAAAACUACUUUAGCAAGGAAACACACACCGUUUGGUGGCCUGCUCCUUUCCCCUUGGAGUGCUAGUGUGCAUCAAUGAACCUCCUGUUCCCAUGAGCAGCGCUGUCAAGAUUGUGGAAGAAUUCUGUGCCCGUAUAAGAAUUUGAUUGCUCACUAUGCAUCCUUUAUUAGUUUCUGUAUCUUCCAUCUUAUUUAUAAUUCUUCCAAUAAAUUAUGUGAACACUG